GGGCGAGAGGUGCUUCAGGAAGCAUACCCGUAGCACAGCGGGAGGCAGUCGGUUCGAAUCCGGCCUUGCCCUCCA
rnacentral:tRNA from 1 species